CCUACGGGAGGCAGCAGUGGGGAAUAUUGCUCAAUGGGCGGAAGCCUGAUCCAGCAACGCCGCGUGGGUGAAGAAGUACCUCGGUAUGUUAAGCCCUGUUAGCAGGGAAGAAAAUGACGGUACCUGUCCAAGCAGCCCCGGCUAACUCCGAGCCAGCAGCCGCGGUAAAACGGAGGGGGCAAGCGUUAUCCGGAUUUACUGGGUGUAAAGGGAGCGUAGGCGGCAAGGCAAGUCCGGAGUGAAAGCCCGUGGCUCAACCACGGGACUGCUUUGGAGACUGGGUGGCUGGAGUGCAGGAGGGGUAAGCGGAAUGCCUAGUGUAGCGGUGAAAUGCGUAGAUAUUAGGCAGAACACCGAUUGCGAAGGCAGCUUACCGGAC
rnacentral:rRNA from 1 species